rnacentral:rRNA from 1 species
AUUGAACGCUGGCGGCAGGCCUAACACAUGCAAGUCGAGCGAGCGGCGGACGGGUGAGUAAUGUAUGGGGACUGCCCGAUAGAGGGGGAUAACUACUGGAAACGGUAGCUAAUACCGCAUACUAUCGGAUAACCCAUAUGGGAUUAGCUAGUAGGUGAGGUAAUGGCUCACCUAGGCGACGAUCCCUAGCUGGUCUGAGAGGAUGAUCAGCCCCACUGGGACUGGGACCCGGCCCGGCUUCCUACGGAGGCAGCGGUGGGGAAUAUUGCACAAUGGGCGCAAGCCUGAUACAGCCAUGCCGCGUGUAUGAAGAAGGCCCUAGGGUUGUAAGGUACUUUCAGUCGGGAGGCGUUACCGACAGAAGAAGCACCGGCUAACUCCGUGCCAGCAGCCGCGGUAAUUC